AACGAACGCUGGCGGCGCGUUUUAAGCAUGCAAGUCGAGCGGUAAGGUCCUUCGGGAUCCUAGAGCGGCGGACGGGUGAGUAACACGUGGAUAAUCUGCCUUCCAGUUUGGGAUAGCACAUGGAAACAUGUGAUAAUACCGAAUGAGAUACGACAUACACAGGUAAGUGGUAGGAAAGCUCCUGCGGGAGCGCUGGAAGAUGAGUCCGCGGCCCAUUAGCUAGUUGGCGGGGUAAAGGCCCACCAAGGCGACGAUGGGUAGCCGGCCUGAGAGGGUGGACGGCCACAUUGGGGACUGAGACACGGGCCCAGACUCCUACGGGAGGCAGCAGCUAAGAAUCUUCCACAAUGGACAAAGUCUGAUGGAGCGACGCCGCGUGAACGAUGAAGGCCGUAAGGUUGUAAAGUUCUUUUUGGG
rnacentral:rRNA from 1 species